GAGGCUUAUUUUGAAGCCCUAUAUUUAUGUAUUCACAAGAUAAUGGAACUAUGUGCAUAGAUGUUAGGGUUAAGUACA
rnacentral:pre_miRNA from 1 species